AAAAUUGUAAAUCUAGACAAAAAUUAUAACUCUGUAGAACAAAUGAAAUAGAAAAGAAUCGGAGUUUAUAUACUAAUAGAUACCAGUCAAACUUCUUGAAAUGUAGAAUAAAAUGUUCAGAUAUUUCAGAGUUUAUAAAGAUGAGCAAGAAAAAAAAUCUGAACUAAAAAUUCACAGAUGUAAUAGAAACAAAAAAAAAAAAAAAAAAAAGACCUGAAAAAUAAA